CUUUCUGGCCGCCGUGUUGGGGACAGUCGCCCCCGCUCCCUGUCCCGACCUGGAUGCGAGGACUGUCGCGGCUCAGAGGGGCUUAUGACCUAGAGACACCCCAGGCUGGGUCGUGCUGGGCGGGUGUCGGAGGCGGCGUUCGAGAGAGGAGCCAGAGAGUGACCCUGGACGCCAAACCGCCCUGCAGUCCGAGCUGCGCUUUGACGGCUGUUGAGAGUGGGCGGAACGUGGGGGGUGCCGCUGCGUAGAAUCUCGGCAAGUCUUAGAGCUGCAUUUGUGUUUUCUAAGCUGUAAUUCUAGUUAUUGUUACUUUUGA